rnacentral:lncRNA from 1 species
GGUUGGUCUGUGUGUCUUAUAGAAUAUGGCUUGAAGUGAGGUUAUGUGGCUUCUGAAGCUAUCACAAUGUCAUAAAGGACACUGUGACUUCUGUCUUGCUCCAUUUCUGGGGUCACUUGCACUAGAGGAAGUCAGCUACUAAAUUACAAAGAAAUUCCAGCAACCACAAGGAGAGGUCCACAAAGUGAGAGAUUGAACCCUCGAGCUAACAAGCAUGUGAGUGAGACAUGUUGGAAGUGGAUUCUCCAGCUCCAGUCAAGCCUUCAGAUGAAUGCAGCUCCAGCCAACAUCUCACUGCAGCUUUAUGAGAGCCUCUGAGCUGGAGCCACUAGGCCAAGCUGUUCCCAAAUUCCUGACUCUCAGAAACUGUUGUGCAUAGGAAGAAUCUGGGGACCUUGUGGAAAGUGCAGCUCCCAGACACCUGCCUCAACUGACUCUGUGGAUGUGGAGCGGGCCCUGCCACUCCCCAUUUUUAACCUACUGGGGAGAGAACGGGAGGCAAAACUACAAACCUGAAAAUAAAGUGGCUAAGUGGCUUCUCAAACUCUUUCCAAGUCUCUAAACACCGCUGAGUCUGGAUUGUCACUGUGCUCUACAGAGGAAACGAAGACCAAGAAUUAAGCAGCUCGAUUUUCCAGUGCAGACUGUUUGACCUUUGUGACUAGUAAACCACUCCUUUUAUUAAGGCCAAAUCUGCAAAAUCUGUCUUAAAGAAAAUGGUCAGUCUUUCCUUUCUUCUAAACAUCUCUGAUUUUUUCAUCUUGUUUCCU